rnacentral:snRNA from 1 species
AUACCUUUCUCGGCCUUUUGGCUAAGAUCAAGCGUAGUAUCUGUUCUUAUCAGUUUAAUAUCUGAUAUGUGGGUCAUGUGCCCACAAUGAUAUUAAAUUUAUUUUUUAUGGAGGAGGGUCCACCACAGUGGCUUGCCAUUGGGGCCCUCAAGUGUCGUCUGGGCGUUGCACUACAGCCCAGGCCGGCGCACCCCAA